rnacentral:rRNA from 1 species
CCUACGGGAGGCAGCAGUGGGGAAUAUUGGACAAUGGGGGGAACCCUGAUCCAGCCAUGCCGCGUGUGUGAAGAAGGCCCUCGGGUUGUAAAGCACUUUCAGUGAGGAAGAACGCCUGGUGGUUAAUACCCAUCAGGAAAGACAUCACUCACAGAAGAAGCACCGGCUAACUCCGUGCCAGCAGCCGCGGUAAUACGGAGGGUGCGAGCGUUAAUCGGAAUUACUGGGCGUAAAGCGCGCGUAGGUGGCUUGAUAAGCCGGUUGUGAAAGCCCCGGGCUCAACCUGGGAACGGCAUCCGGAACUGUCAAGCUAGAGUGCAGGAGAGGAAGGUAGAAUUCCCGGUGUAGCGGUGAAAUGCGUAGAGAUCGGGAGGAAUACCAGUGGCGAAGGGGGCCUUCUGGACUGACACUGACACUGAGGUGCGAAAGCGUGGGUAGCAAACAGGAUUAGAUACCCCAGUAGUC